GUACACUCCUACGGGAGGCAGCAGUGGGGAAUUUUGGACAAUGGGCGAAAGCCUGAUCCAGCAAUGCCGCGUGUGUGAAGAAGGCCUUCGGGUUGUAAAGCACUUUUGUCCGGAAAGAAAUCCUUGGCUCUAAUACAGUCGGGGGAUGACGGUACCGGAAGAAUAAGCACCGGCUAACUACGUGCCAGCAGCCGCGGUAAUACGUAGGGUGCGAGCGUUAAUCGGAAUUACUGGGCGUAAAGCGUGCGCAGGCGGUUUGCUAAGACCGAUGUGAAAUCCCCGGGCUCAACCUGGGAACUGCAUUGGUGACUGGCAGGCUAGAGUAUGGCAGAGGGGGGUAGAAUUCCACGUGUAGCAGUGAAAUGCGUAGAGAUGUGGAGGAAUACCGAUGGCGAAGGCAGCCCCCUGGGCCAAUACUGACGCUCAUGCACGAAAGCGUGGGGAGCAAACAGGAUUAGAAACCCGGGUAGUCCCA
rnacentral:rRNA from 1 species